rnacentral:rRNA from 1 species
UACGUAGGUGGCAAGCGUUGUCCGGAAUUAUUGGGCGUAAAGCGCGCGCAGGCGGUCCUUUAAGUCUGAUGUGAAAGCCCUCGGCUCAACCGAGGAGGUCAUUGGAAACUGGAGGACUUGAGUGCAGAAGAGGAAAGUGGAAUUCCAAGUGUAGCGGUGAAAUGCGUAGAGAUUUGGAGGAACACCAGUGGCGAAGGCGACUUUCUGGUCUGUAACUGACGCUGAGGCGCGAAAGCGUGGGGAGCAAACAGG